CUUCAGACAGGAAACUGGGUUUAAAUAGUUCUGAUGGUUUUAACUGAUCUAAAUCAUCAAAGUGUGACUCAUGCAGACAAAUAUCAUCACUGGUGUCAUUAAUAUGCAAAAUUAUGGUCAGCUUUAAACUCAUUGGUUUAGAUUCUGUUUAAUUGUUCACAGCUUCAAACUCCUCAGAACCAAACUGGCCUCUGAAAACUUCUUCAUCAACAUUUCUGUCAUCAGCUUCUCUAACAGCAACAAGAACAACAAAAACAACAGCAAGUUUUACACAAAGGCUGAGUUCCUCCUCUUCUUCCUCCUCAUCUACAACCAGCAAACAGACCAGAACACCAACUGGACCCAAAGGUCUGCUGCUUUAUGUGGUUCUGACUCUGGUCGCCAAGAUCAUCUUAUUAUCAACACCUUUGGUGAUUUUCUGCUGGAAGAGGAGACUCACUAAGAGCAAAGAUCCUGCUGCAGCAGUUCCCGGCCUCCGAGGGUCCUCCUCCAUCGUCGGCCUCUCUCAAAACAGCCCAGAGACAGAGAUAACCAGAGGAGGACUGAUCAAAUCAUCUGCUGAGGAAAUAUCUUCAGUUUAGCUCUGAGCUCAAAAGCCAGAAAAACUAAUUUAAAUGCUUCUUAAAGUUCAGCAGAAUUACUUCUUGUGGUUUUAUGCAUCACUUUGACCAGGAUUGUAGAGGCUUACUGCUACAUAUAUUAAACCAUUUUAUUAACAUGUAAAACAGUAAAUAACUGAUAGCGCUUCUUGUUUUACGCCUUUUUUAUUUUGUGCGUUCAGUUUCAGAGCUGCUUGC